AGUUUGAUCCUGGCUCAGGAUGAACGCUGGCGGCGUGCCUAACACAUGCAAGUCGAGCGAUCUUCUUCGGAAGAGAGCGGCGGACGGGUGAGUAACGCGUGGGUAACCUGCCCUGUACACACGGAUAACAUACCGAAAGGUAUGCUAAUACGAGAUAAUAUGCUUUAUCGCAUGGUAGAAGUAUCAAAGCUCCGGCGGUACAGGAUGGACCCGCGUCUGAUUAGCUAGUUGGUAAGGUAACGGCUUACCAAGGCGACGAUCAGUAGCCGACCCGAGAGGGUGAUCGGCCACAUUGGAACUGAGACACGGUCCAAACUCCUACGGGAGGCAGCAGUGGGGAAUAUUGCACAAUGGCGAAAGCCUGAUGCAGCAACGCCGCGUGAGCGAUGAAGGCCUUCGGGUCGUAAAGCUCUGUCCUCAAGGAAGAUAAUGACGGUACUUGAGGAGGAAGCCCCGGCUAACUACGUG
rnacentral:rRNA from 1 species